CUGGAAUUACAUGCAGUAAUGCCUUCUAGACAACUCUGCAAUGUUAUGCCAUGACACCACACAGACAACCCUAUACGCUAAUGCAAUACAGUGAUCCCUAUCCCAAUCAGUCAGACUGUGGCAUUUUUAAUACAUUUGAAUCAGCAUCAGAAAUAUUCCCAAUGUGUUACAAAAAACUUUAAAAUUGAUUCAUCUAUGGAAAUCCCCAUUAAAUCCUAUGGUAGACAAAU